UCGAUUAUGAAAAAACUUAGUAAGCACGUUUUAUUUCUGAAUUAAUCCAUGUGAAAAAUUUCUGUACUGCAAAGGUCAAAAAGGUAAUAUUCAGAAUGCGCGAACGCGAAAUAAAAGCACUGUGGGAGGAAAUGGUAUACCAAUGUGGUGGAAUGUUCUCGGAUGAGGAAUUGUUUAA